rnacentral:rRNA from 1 species
UACGUAGGGUGCGAGCGUUAAUCGGAAUUACUGGGCGUAAAGGGCGCGUAGGCGGCUUUGCAAGUGACGGGUGAAAUCCCUCGGCUUAACCGAGGAACUGCCUGUCAAACUGCAUGGCUUGAGACCGGGAGAGGUGAGUGGAAUUCCCAGUGUAGCGGUGAAAUGCGUAGAUAUUGGGAGGAACACCAGUGGCGAAGGCGGCUCACUGGACCGGUACUGACGCUGAGGCGCGAAAGCGUGGGGAGCAAACAGG